UGGGCUAAUUCAUAGUAUUUUGUUAUGAAUUUUCUUAAUGCAAAACAUUUCUGAAAGGCUAUUACUUUUCUUCUACCUUCCUGUUUCUUGGUAGCAAUCUUGAAAAUCAUUUGAAGAAUAAGAUAAGAGGGAAGACUAAUGCCCGUUGUUUCAUAUAUGGCUGAUGUGAAUUGUAACUCAUAUAGGAAGCUUGAUAGUAUUUUUUUUUCCCUUUUUUAUUUCAAAUGAGGCAAAGACUUGAAUUUUAUGCUUUAGGACAUAAAAAGUAUUCUCUGUCAACAAGCUUUCUAUCUUAAUUAAAAAACUCUGCGUGCUAGACUUUGAGGGUGUCACAUUCCUAGGGUUACCUAGGGUGAGACUGGAAUUAGGUGAAAAUCCGAACAAGAGAAUUGAAAGGAGGGAGAUAAAUUAGCAGAAAGGGAGGGGAAAUCAGAGAGAACCAAGAGAGGGAUAGAGAGAACUAGAAGGAAAGGAUUUCAAUCUCAUUUCAUAUCACAUCCCAUCCUCUUACAAGUAGCCUUUUUAUAGGCAUAGUUGGUUGCUAACUGAAUUCAUAACAACACCUAUGUGCGCUCCUAACAAAUUAUAAAAUAUCUCCUAACAAACUAUUAUAACCCUUACGAUAUUGCUCCUAGGAUCAUGAUGACAGAGGGUUGUGUUAGAUUUAUUUUAAAGUAUAGGUCAGUUGGAGGAUUCAGUGGAGAUAAACUAAUGAGGACCUUACAAUUGUUGUGUGCAUGGUGCAGUACUCCUGGAGGUUGGACGUGGUUAGAGCACUAGAGGGAAUCUAUUAGUUGGUCCACGAGCUGUUCAUGGGCCUUAUCUAUUUGAUGCUUUGGUUCUUAUUUCCUAGCUAAUAAUUUGGCCACUUCCUCAUUGUUUUAGGAAAAGUGGUUAUUCUAUUUAUUAUUUAAACUUAAGUAUCUGCAAGUGGAAAUUAUGUUGAAUAAUAAUCAGAUUUCCCUCCUACAUAUCUUCUUUUCUCUCUCUCUCUCUCUUCUACUUUCUUUCACCAUUCACUUUCCUUAAGUAUUAGUCUGGUGCACACAUUAUUUUUGGUAUCAGAGCACAGUCAUGGCAACCUGUAGGAAAUUAAACGCGGAGUUUCACGAUGAGGUCCAGGAAGUCACCACCUGGCAUGAAGCUAACUUUGACCACAUGAACACCACCCUCCAAACUAACUAUUAUGACCAAGUUACAGUCCCUUCAAGUUGCCCAAGCAAAACACACUAGUGAAGAAAACAUCAAUUCUUUUGGCCAUGGAGAAUCAUCCCACCACCAAGUGCCACACAACUUUGAUAGUUCCUACACUCCAGGGGCUACUGAGCGGAGCCAUACCAGCCUCAAGCUAUCCUUCCUGAAAUUCAAUGGCAAAGACCACAUGGGGUGGAUUUAUAGGACCGAACAAUGUUUCGAGUUCAAGGGGGUCGAAUCAUCACAACAAGUGCAAUCGGCACCUUUCCACUUGGAGGGGGUGGCGCUACAAUGGCACCGCUAGUUGAGCAAGUUCAAAGGGCCUUUUUCAUGGCUGGAAUUUACCAAGGCUGUUCUUCACAGGUUCGGAGCAACAGCUUAUGAGGAUCCUUUGGAGGCACUCGCGAGGCUCAAGCAAGUUACUACGGUGGAGACAUAACAAGCCGAAUUCGAAAAGUUAUCCCAAAGAAUGGAUGACUUACCUGAACAUUACUUGGUGGGAUGUUUUAUUGCAGGAUUACGAGAUGAGAUCUGCUUGAAUGUGAAGGUGAAACAACCGAAGUUGCUAUCUAAUGCCGUAGGAGUGGCGCGAUUAAUCGAAGAGAAAAACCAGCUACAGAAGAGACCCAACAUAGGGUCACGGGCACCUUUGUCGAGUCAAGCACAACGACCCAUAACAGAUUCCUUGCUUGGAAUUCUUGGCCCUCCUUCGGCUACCAAACAACUUCCACAAUUGUCAUCACCUAUCAAAUGCAUUACCAGUCAGGAAGCUCGAUAUCGACGCACGAAGGGGCUUUGCUUCUAUUGUGAUGAAAAAUUUGUGCCUAGCCACUGCUGCCAGCGACCCCAAUUAUUUAUGAUAGAGGAUCCGAUGGUACAAGAGGAGACCGACCCUGAAAAAGAGCAGGCAAGUGACGACCCCACACUAGAAAUUUCUUUUCAUGCAAUCACUGGAACUACGCACCCCUAGACCAUGCGAGUCAACGGGCAAUUGCAGAACCACCACAUCACUAUUCUCAUCGGCAACGGGAGUACGCACAAUUUCCUCGACCAAACAGUGGGCAAGCGACUCGGCCUACUUGUGGAGUGCAGCAAACCUCUCCAGGUUGUGGUGGCUAAUAGGGAGAAGAUUGAUUGCUCGGGCCAGUGCAAGGGACUUUCCUUGACCAUUCAUAAUUGUUCCAUACGGGCUGAUUUCUAUUUCUUAGCAUUAGCGGCUUGUCAAGCAGUGCUCGGGGUGCAAUGGUUGGAGACGCUCGGUCCCAUUGAAGCUAAUUAUCGUGACAUGACCAUGAGCUUUGAAAAGGACGGCAGGCUACACAAGUUACAAGGAAUACGCAAGGGGCCAUCUAAGGCGUUGAGAGAUAAAGAACUGCUGAACCUAGAAGGCGCGGGGUUUUUUUUCCAGAUAAUUUUGGACCCUCCAACAUAUAGCCCACAAGAGUUGGCCGGCGACCUCAACGAGCUCCACAUGGAAUUCAACCAGGUGAUUGGUCUUGACUUCUCAAAGGAGCAAUUAUCACUUGCUUCAUCUCGGCAACAUUUAUACUCAAAGGCUUGCUACAACAACAUUAAGUGGGUUGAAGGCAAUGCACUUGAUUUACCAUUUUCUGAUUGUCAUUUUGAUGCUGUUACAAUGGGUUAUGGGUUGCGUAAUGUCAUUGAUAAACGCAAAGCUAUGGAGGAGAUAUAUCGCAUUCUGAAACCAGGCUCAAAGGCAUCUGUCCUGGACUUCAACAAAAGCACCAACACGCUUCUUGCCUCAAUAGAGGAAUGGAUGCUUGAGAACAUAGUUGUUCCAGUGGCUUCUGGUUAUGGUCUUGCGGAGGAGUACAAAUACUUAAAAACCUCAAUUCAGGAAUUUUUAACAGGGAAGGAGUUAGAGGAGCUUGGUAUGGAAGUGGGAUUUACAAAUGCGAAGCAUUAUGAGAUUGGUGGAGGACUCAUGGGGAACUUAGUAUCCACACGAUAGAUGCACUUCUUGAUUUUUGCAGUUCCUGAGAAUUAUGUCACCAGGAAGUAUAAAGUUAGCGCUUUGAUGCUUUUCAUUGAUGUCCUUUUGAAAUCUAUGUCUAAGGUUACUGUCUCCAAAUAUGUACUUUUGAGACAGUAGACCUCCCUUUUUCUUAUUGUUCCAUUGCUUCCCCUUCAUUUCUUUCCAUGUUUUUCUUCUACUUCAUUUUCUUUUUCUUCUUCCAUUUUCUGUUGGCAACUAGAGCUUCGGAGGCAGAGUCCAGCUAUUUCUCUACUGUUGGAACGACUUCUUCAGGCAAAUUUCUUCUUGCACUCUCCUUGUAAUUACAGUGCAAGCUCUCUUAUUCAUUGUAAAGGAAAGACUGUUAUUAGGGGGUGAGUCCAGUAGGAUUUCAGCCCAAGGUUAGGGGUGUACAGAGAUGCAUCCUACCUUGAAGAUCUUUAGUAGCAUUUUGGAGAGGCUUGUAAUGAAAUAUGUUUAUUUUGUUAAUUUACACUAGAGCCUCUAUUUAUUUUGUAUGGCCUUCGAGUCUAGACUUAUGAGGUAUUGAAAAUGUAAUCGAACCUUAACUUAGUUUCCGCUGCUAUUAAUGAAAUGAGUUGUUUGUUUCAA